rnacentral:tRNA from 1 species
GGGCCCGUCGUCUAGCACGGAUAGGACACGAGGCUUCGAACCUCGGUGUCGCGGGUUCAAAUCCUGCCGGGCCCGCCA